AUGACAACACUUCUCUGCCUUACCAUGGAUGUUUUCUCAUUCCCAGUUACCCUCCAGCUAACUGAAAAACAUGGAAUCGAUGUUAUCAAUGUUAUCAAUAACUCUGAAGCACACAAAUCAGCAGUGGGUGUCAGAAGGGCCCAAGGUUUCAAAAGCAGACUGCAUGGGACCAUCGAAGAAACAGUCAAUUGGAGAUACACCUCAUGUGUGUUUUAGGCAAAGGAGGUUUCCAGUCCUUUCAAGCAGAAUUUCAAGUUGCUGAGCUCGUCCUCCAACCAGCACCACUUGGUACAACUCAGGGCAGCACUUCCAUACCAGGUCCGGCUCAGUAGAACAGUCCAUCCUUGAUCUCAUCAUUUGGCCCAGGCACACCUCAGCACCCAGCAACUUCUCUCAUUCCUACUGAAGAGAUGGGAAUCCAGUGUUCAUCCUGCAAACCCUGCUACACCUUCUGCCUCUGGGAGCAGCAAGCCUCCAUUUGCAAGAAGUGCGUUUGCUGCUUUUGUGGAAUUUAUUAAAGAUUUCUUUAAUUAAAACUGUUGUUGUAAUUGAUCUGAAUCUCCAGACCGCAGCCUCCCAGUGUUAAGCACAAAACGGUGAGUUUUGUUUAGAUACACAUACAUGCAUCUCCUUCCAUAAGAGCUCAUUCUUCAAAAAGUUGACAGCUGAUUUGCGUUGGUUGUAGCUGGGCAUCAGUGGUUGAUCAGAAAGAGAACUCAGCACUCAUGAGAGCAGCUCUGCUUCUUUAGCUAUGGAGCCUCCUAUUCUCCUGUGUUCUAAGAACUUAACUGUGUUUAAGGUAGUCAGGCUGCCUGUGAGUCUUAUGCAUCAUCCCCAUAUGUUCUUUUCUCAUUCCAAAUGAGGCUCUUAUGAAACCUGAUGCUCUGCCUAACUCAAUGCUGAGCCUUCAACCAUCCGCCGUUGGUAGCUGUCAGCAUGCAGCUGGAUGGUGAGGUCAUUUUCCUGGGUGAGGAUAGCUGUCAUCUCCUCUGCUCUUUGAUGUGUUCUUUGCACCCCCGAGUCUGUGGCACGAUGUUACUUAGCUCUUUAAUUACAAUUCUUUUCUGCUGGGCCACAUUCAGCAAAGAUUUCACCUGGAAGUAAGGAGUUCAAGCAGUGAGGUUCCUAAAACAAGCUUUUCCUGCUGUGAUGCUCCACAAAAGCUGAAGGUGCUCCUUUUCUUACCAGAUUCUAAUAUUUUUUUGCACACCAGUGA
rnacentral:lncRNA from 1 species